AGCUGUGUGAUAAAUGCAAAGCGAACUAUUCUUUCGCCUUUUACUAAAGAAUACCGUGUAUUUGUCACUCAAAGCAGCAUACGCCAAUUUUUGGGAAAGGGUCUUCUUCAGAGGACCC
rfam:Glycine soja cultivar W05 scaffold1063_47, whole genome shotgun sequence.